rnacentral:misc_RNA from 1 species
AAUUUUUUCUGGAUUUAGUCUAGACUAACACGGAAGGCAUAGCACAAUCAAAUCGAACAUAACAGAACUGAACAAAAGAAUAAAUGAAUCACCGAAUCUCAAGUUAAUACCGAACCUUAAGUGCAAUACUCUUACAAUACUUUUUAAGUUAAACUCACUGUUUCCAAUUAAGACUGACCUCUGACUGCUCUCAAUUAAAACUGAACUCUAACUUCUUUCAACACUACUUUCAAUUAAAUUCUGAACUUGGUAAAACC